CUCUUUUCAGAAUUGAGUGGCAAACGGGUGAGUAACACGUAAACAACCUGCCUUCAGGAUGGGGACAACAGACGGAAACGACUGCUAAUACCGCAUGACGCAUUUUGAUCGCAUGGUCGAAAUGCCAAAGAUUUAUCGCUGAAAGAUGGCCUCGCGUCUGAUUAGCUAGUUGGUGAGGUAAUGGCCCACCAAGGCGACGAUCAGUAGCCGGACUGAGAGGUUGACCGGCCACAUUGGGACUGAGAUACGGCCCAGACUCC
rnacentral:rRNA from 1 species